GUCUCAAUGAACCACAUCAAGAAGUAGAGGUCCACGGAUAGGCUGUUUUGAUGUUGAUAUCCAACAAGAUCAAACUUCAAAGCAUCCAUCAUCAAGGUGCAGUAAAAGGGAACAGGUAGAGAACCAUGGAGUAUUCGAUGGCGGCGCAAAAGGAAGGAGUAUUGGAAGUAGAACUGGAGGCUUACCAAGAACAGCAGCCAGAAAGAAGAAAUCUGAGUUCAUAGCUUGCAGUGUAAACAGGGAUUGAUUGGUUCAGGCUGGAGUCCUCCCCAAGAGAUGACCCUGCGGUUAAAGGUCACAGUGUGAACGUCAAGAGUGGGGCAUGACAAAUCCUCAUGGCCGGGCCUCGUAAAUCCACACGGUACAAACACGCACAUAUGCCCACCGAACGUACUCUCCAGUCGGAGAGACACCAUUAAAAAUGAAGAAUGGGCCUGGGGACAGUAGGAGCGAGGCGACAGCAGCAGAAAGCCUCAUAGCGCUUCAGCUUAGUGCAAUACUCUGGCCUAGUUCAGAAACUGCUUUCUCUCUGUGUCCAGAACACUAAGUUUCAUUCAGAGCUCCUGUACAUAUCAUGCUACGUGCAUUAAAUACUACAUAAGAUGA